GAUCAUGGCUCAGGAUGAACGCUAGCUACAGGCUUAACACAUGCAAGUCGAGGGGCAGCAUGGUCUUAGCUUGCUAAGGCCGAUGGCGACCGGCGCACGGGUGAGUAACACGUAUCCAACCUGCCGUCUACUCUUGGACAGCCUUCUGAAAGGAAGAUUAAUACAAGAUGGCAUCAUGAGUCCGCAUGUUCACAUGAUUAAGGUAAUUCCGGUUACGACGAUGGGAGG
rnacentral:rRNA from 1 species